GAGAGAUCGAUGGGGGGAGGCGGGGACGCGCAGCCUUUUUGCCCUGCCUUCGCGAGUCGCGCCAACCCCCCCCCCCCCCCCCCCCCCCCCCCAAAAAAAAACCCCCAGAACCCUAGCAGAGGUCUCGAGCACGAGCCCGCGAUGGCGUCGGACAGCGAGGCGGCAGCGCAUUCUACCUUAACGAGCACGACAGUGGAGGACGGUGGUGCGCACGAGAGCAAGCAGGAACACCUCAAUGGCGCGGUGGGCACCCCCACGGUUGGGCAGGAGGAAGAGAUAAUCGGGCCGGGCCCAGCGCCGGCGAAGCAGCGGCGGAAGCGCCCUCUCCAGUUCGAGCAGGCGUUCCUCGACGCCCUCCCCUCCGCCGCCAUGUACGAGAAGAGCUAUAUGCAUCGGGAUGUCGUCACGCACGUCGCUGUAUCUCCUGCUGACUUCUUCAUCACUGGGAGCGCAGAUGGGCAUCUGAAGUUUUGGAAGAAGAAACCUGUUGGGGUUGAAUUUGCUAAACAUUUUCGGUCUCAUCUCAGUCCCAUCGAAGGUCUAGCUGUGAGUGUUGAUGGAUUGCUUUGCUGCACGAUAUCAAACGAUCGGUCUGUGAAGAUAUAUGAUGUUGUAAACUAUGACAUGAUGUUCAUGAUACGUCUCUCAUUUGUUCCUGGGGCUAUUGAGUGGGUUCAUCGAGAAGGAGAUGUUAAACCAAAACUUGCCGUUAGUGACCGAAAUACACCUUUCGUUCACAUAUUUGAUACCCAUUCUGGUUCAAAUGACCCAAUCAUGUCCAAAGAGAUUCAUGGUGGCCCUGUCAAAGUUAUGAAAUAUAACCACAUUCAUGAUGUUGUUAUAUCUGCUGAUGCCAAAGGACUGUUGGAAUAUUGGUCUCCAUCUACCCUCAUGUUUCCAGAAAAUGAGGUGAGGUUUCGCCUGAAAUCAGAUACAAAUCUAUUUGAAAUUGCGAAAUGCAAGACUACUGUGUCUGCUAUUGAGGUAAGCAAUGAUGGCACUCAAUUUGCUGUCACAUCCCCUGAUCGCAGGAUACGUGUAUUUUGGUUCAAAACUGGAAAAUUAAGACGUGUAUAUGACGAGUCCCUAGAUGUGGCGCAAGAUCUUCAAAGAAGUGAUGUUCCAUUGUAUCACCUUGAUGCUAUUGAUUUUGGACGACGAAUGGCUGUGGAGAAGGAAAUAGAGAAAACAGAAAAUGUUCCACAACCUAAUGCUGUCUUUGAUGAGAGUUGCAAUUUUCUUAUUUAUGCUACCCUUUUGGGUGUAAAGAUUGUGAAUUUGCACACAAAUAAGGUUUCCCGUAUCCUGGGGAAGGUAGAGAACAAUGAGAGGUUUCUGAGAAUUGCACUAUACCAAGGAGACAAAGGCAACAAGAAGGUUAGAAAAAUUCCUUCAGUAGCUGCCAAUGUCAAUGAUAGCAAGGAACCAUUAUCAGACCCAACGCUGCUGUGUUGUGCUUUCAAGAAGCAUCGGAUAUAUCUCUUUAGUCGUAGGGAACCAGAAGAGCCUGAAGAUGCAACUAAGGGUAGAGAUGUUUUCAAUGAAAAACCACCGCCAGAAGAGCUUUUGUCUGCAUCAGACCUAGGAAAAACUGCUACAACAUCAUUGCCUGAUAAUUUGGUGCUACAUACUUCUAUGGGUGACAUUCACUUGAGACUAUAUCCAGAAGAGUGUCCAAAAACUGUUGAAAACUUCACUACCCAUUGUCGGAAUGGUUAUUAUGACAAUCUUAUAUUUCAUCGUGUGAUUAAAGGAUUCAUGAUUCAGACUGGAGAUCCUUUGGGGGAUGGUACUGGUGGACAAUCAAUCUGGGGCACAGAAUUUGAAGAUGAAUUUCACAAGAGCUUGAGGCAUGAUAGGCCUUUUACACUUUCCAUGGCCAAUGCGGGACCUAACACCAAUGGUUCUCAAUUCUUCUUCACCACUGUAGCAACUCCAUGGCUAGAUAACAAACACACAGUGUUUGGUAGAGUUGUGAAAGGGAUGGAUGUUGUCCAGCAAAUUGAGAAGGUCAAGACUGACAAGAAUGACAAACCAUAUCAAGAUGUAAAAAUCUUGAAUGUUACAGUUCCCAAGACAUAAGCGCGUGAUCAGUUGGGUUCGGAAAUUGUGCCUGCACUCCUUGGUUGGACAUAUUGCUAAACCUGUAGAAGCUGGAGUCUUACGAGAUCAGCUGUAAUGCUAUGGGUGAAUUGAGCACACCUUGGGCUGCUCUUGACGUCGGGGUAUUGGAACCUUGCAAUUUUCAGGAUCGAUGGUACCACAGGAAUUUUAGGUUUACUUGCUUUGAUUGCAGAAUUAUAGGGCAGAAGGUUGUAGUUUUGUAACGUUGAGUUAAUUUUAAGUUUAGCUGCUUUGAUUCUAGAAUCCUGGGGCCACCGGGCCUGCGGCGUAGACACUCACUGGUUUUGGGCGCUGACCUGGCCUUCCCCCAAUUUCUGCGUCAGCAAAUGUACGGCCUGGGAAGAAUCUUUGAUGGGUCGUCGCUGUCUGCAGGGUGCAGCUGGCAGAAUGGCCUUUGAUUACACUACACUAAGAAAUUUCUACUUGGGGAUGUGGAUCUCAUCACUUCGAUAACUUAUCUGAAGUACUACGUCGUUUCGCCAAGUAACUGCGUGUACGUCACUUAGCACAUUCAUGUACACCGUAUUAUAUAUCCAUGUACCCUGAAAGAAUGGUUUGAUAAAAAGGAAGAAGACAACGGAGAUGAAAAAAAAGUAAA